UGUAGUCAUAUGCUUGUCUCAAAGAUUAAGCCAUGCAUGUCUAAGUAUAAGCAAUUAUACCGCGAAACUGCGAAUGGCUCAUUAUAUAAGUUAUCGUUUAUUUGAUAAUACUUUACUACUUGGAUAACCGUGGUAAUUCUAGAGCUAAUACAUGCUAAAAAUCCCGACUUCGGAAGGGUUGUAUUUAUUAGAUUAAAAACCAAUGCCCCUCGGGGCUCUCUGGUGAAUCAUAAUAACUAGUCGAAUCGACAGGCCUUGUGCCGGCGAUGGCUCAUUCAAAUUUCUUCCCUAUCAACUUUCGAUGUUUGGGUCUUGUCCAAACAUGGUGGCAACGGGUAACGGAGGGUUAGGGCUCGACCCCGAAGAAGGAGCCUGAGAAACGGCUACUACAUCCAAGGAAGGCAGCAGGCGCGCAAAUUACCCAAUCCCGACACGGGGAGGUAGUGACAAUAAAUACUGAUACAGGGCUCUUUUGGGUCUUGUAAUCGGAAUGAGUACAAUUUAAAUCCCUUAACGAGGAACAAUUGGAGGGCAAGUCUGGU
rnacentral:rRNA from 1 species